CAUGAUCAUUUCAAACUAAAGUAUGCAUUUGUUAUAUUGUAGUUAAUAUAUUUUAAAUAUUAUAUAUGUCAAGUGAUUCACGUUUUUGUAAAAAAUAAAAUUCAAGUUCUUUAUUGGGCCGUACUCAUCCGUAAUAAUUUACAUUAAAUAUAUGAUGUAUUUUUAGGUUUAUUUAAUGAUAUUAAAUUUAAAUUUGACUAAGGAAAACUCAUUAAUUUAACUGGAAAAGAGAAACAUUAUAAUAGGUAGGUUCAUUUAAUGAUAUUAAGAUUAAAUUUGAUUAAGGAAAACUCAUUAAUUUAACUGGAAAAGACAAUCAUUAAAAUAUGUAGUUAAAUUAAAUUCUCAGUGCCAUGGAAGUGUAAAUAAAUUAGAAUACUUAGGGGUAUUUUUAAUGGGUACUUUUCUUUUAAUAAUAUAAAUAAGAAUAUUGUUUGGAAACAUAGAUAGUAGUAUAAUGAAAGGAAUAUUAGUGAUUCAAUGUAAGUUUAACUAUAAAGUUGAAAGGUGUAUUGAAUUUAAAAACUUACAAAAUAAAAGUUAGGUCCAAUAUAAUAUUUCUGUUUUUUGGUCAACUUCUGUCCAUCACAUGUAUGUGUGGAUCAUGUAGAAACACAUGACUUUUGGUUAAUUGUUAACCAAAGAUGUAAGGCUUUAACUGGUAACCAUUAAAAGAAUAAGAGAAAUAACAAGGAAAAGAAUGAAAUGAAAAAAUAAGAGGAAAAUCUAUUUCUUUUCUAAUUUUAUAAGGAAUAAUUGUAGUCUUUUAUUCUUUAAAAGUUAAAGAAUAUUAAGGAAUCAUAAGUAAUAAAUAUUCCUUGUAAAUGGUGUAAAUUGUAAGAAAUGGUAAGGAAUCAACUAUUCUCACUCAUUUCUUUGGUUACCAUUUAGAGAUGAGUUCCAUUUUGGGAUUGAGGUGAUGAUGGGAGAAUUGACGUGUUCAACAUUAGAUGAGUUCCAUUUUGGGAUUUUUUUCACAUAAAUGGAAAGGCUGUAAAAAUGCAUUAAUGUUUAAGUACAGAAUCCAUAGGCGACCUUUGAAUUUUCUUUUACUAAAGACCAUUUUCUUCACUGACAAAUCAACUAAUUAUGACUUAUGAGGUAAUCUUUAGUCAAAAAUCAUAUGAACAAUAUUAAUGUAGGACAAUGACUUCUCAACUAUAAAUACCUGAUGUAUAUCAAAUUGAUGACUAAACAAAGACAAAUACAGAUCAUUGUAAAGAACAGAAAACAAACUUGUUUACCAAGAUCAAAACGUGCUCAACAAUUCACUAAUCAAAGGUAUUAUGUUAAUUAUCUACUUGUAUGGCUCGAUUUUGUGAAUAAUCAUGAUUUAUAUUGCAAUAUAAUUUGUAAAAUUUUAUUUAAAAUUCUCUAUCUAUCAUGAUGUAAUCAUACUUAAAAAAACACAAACCUGUUUAUCAAUACCUUUUAAAAAACACAAACUUUAUAUACUCUUUUGAAUUUGAAUUAUUUAAAAAAAAACACAAACUUCAUUUUUAGAGUUUGAAAAAUUUAAAAAUAAUUUAAACAGCUCAUCUCCCGCAAAGAUCCGAACCAAACACGAAUAAAAAUUUAUAAAUACUUAAAUGAGAUUGAAAUCUUUAAUCUCAAAAACCCAAAACCUAAAUAGACCCGAACUGAAUAAUAAUGGGUACCGACCGCCCACCCCUAAUUUUGAAAUAGAAUACCAUGCUAACAACUAUUCUGGAUUUGGUGAUAUUUUUGUGUAAGGUGUAAUUCAAGACCAUUAUUUGGUAAAAGCUGAUGGAGAAUAACAAAAUUAGAGAUGCACAACCUAAAUUUCAAGGUAUAAGUUAAAAAAGGAACUCAAAUUUAACUUUUGAUUUAUUAGGAAUAUUUACUCAUAAAAAUAUUUUUUUAUUCAUUUAGGAACUGAUGGAACCAAUAGAUAUAUGUAUAAUCAGUUAUGGAAGUUAUGUGCUGGAUCUUUGUUUGAUCUUCCAAUAAUUGGAGAAGAAGUUUAUUAUUUUCCUCAAGGGCACAUAGAGCAGGCACAUGUUUUUCUAUGAAUAAUUUCACAUUAAUUCUCAUAUUUUGUUAUUCAAUAAACUUUUCUACAAUCUUAUGACAUUAUCAGCUUGUAGCAUCAGAAAAUGACAACCUGUGCCAAUUUAAACCAAUUUUUGAUAUUUCUUCAAAAAUUCGUUGUAAUGUUAUUAGCAUCAAGCUUAAGGUAUGUAUCUUUGGUAUUUGAUGUUUCUCUUUAGGAAAUACACAUGAGAUUAAUUGGCUUACAAUUGUACAUAUUAUGGUUUUGACAUGUUUUAUGCAUGAAUUUAGGUGGAUACCAAUACAGAUGAAGUUUAUGCAAAAGUUUCGUUGUCGCCAUUUUCACCUGUACGUGGAAAAUUUAAAAUUUUAUUUAAGAACUAAUAGUACCUCUUUUUAUAAUAUCUGUAAAUAAAUUUAUGAAUUUAAUUAUUAGGAAUUUGAAGUCUCUAUUCCUAAUGGCAACAACGAACAAAACAUUAACUAUUUUACCAAGGUGUUAACUGCUUCGGAUGCCAGCACACAUGGUGGUUUUUCUUUAUUUAAAAAAGAUGCCAUUGAAUGUCUUCCUCUAUUGGUAUUUUCAUUUAAUAAAUACACCAAAUAAAUCCAUAAUUGACUUAUAUUGUAAAUUUUUAUAUGAUCCUUUGUAUUAAACGUUUUUUUAGGAUAUGUCACAGCAAGCACCGAGUCAGUGGAUAGUUGCUAAAGAUCUCCAUGAUCAUGUUUGGAAAUUUAAACACACUUUUAGAGGUAGCUACGUUUUCUAUAUCAAAAUCGUUUGGUAGUAACUAAUAAUCUUUAUACACAACUAAUAAUCUUUAUUUAUGUAUAAAUUAUCAAUUAGGUACACCACAAAGACAUCUUUUCACAUCUGGUUGGAAACAGUUUGUAAGAAAAAAAAGUUUGGCCGUUGGAGACUCUGUUGUAUUCCUUAGGUAUAUACAUUUGUCAUUUUGCAUCUCUUUUGUUUCUUAAUUUUUUUUGUAUUUUAAAUUUUUUUUUGUUCUAGAGGGGAGAAUGGGGAAUCACAAAUCGGAAUCAGAAAAGCAGCGCCUCAACAAAGCAACAUAUCAUCAUCAGUAAUUUCAAAAGAGAGUAUGCAUUAUGGUUUAGUUGCUACUGCAUCGAAUGCUAUUAACUCCAAAUGUAUGUUCGACGUGUUUUAUAGGCCAAAGUAAGGAAAAUACUUUAUUACUCUACUUAAACAUCAUGAGAAUAUUUUAUUUUAAAAAGCAUAUUUUAAUUUAUUCUUGAUAUGAUGAUAUUAGGUCGAGCAAAUUCAUUGUCAACUGCAAAAAAGUUAUAGAUGCAGUGAACAUGAAGUUCAAUACAGGUUCAAGGUUUACUAUGAAGUUUGAAGGACGUGAUUUUAAUGAAAUAAUGUAAAUAUUUGACUCUCAUAUAAUUUUUUUUUCCAAAUAUGAUUACUUACAAAUUUUGUUUAUACUGCAAAGAUAUUCUGGGACAAUAGUAAAAGUGGAAGAUUUCUCCAUUUAUUGGAAGGAUUCAGAAUGGCGAAACCUACAAGUAAAACUUAUUCAUAACUAAUUUUUGUUAUAUUAUUUUAGACUAUGAUUUCAAAAUAAUAAUAAGUAAAAUCCACUAACUUAUUUUUAUAGGUUCAGUGGGAUGAAGCUGCAACAAUUUCAAGACCUAAUAAGGUCUCUCCAUGGGAAAUCGAGCCUUUAAUUCGAAAAAACAAACGCCAACGCGAAAUUAACGAAAUUGGUAAGAAAAUAGUUUUAAAUAAUUUAUGCUUCUUUGUGUAUCCAUUAUCAUCAUAUUUCUAUAUAUAAGUUCAAAUAUGAUAAUUCAUAUGUUGACUCAAAGCCAAUAAAUUGGAGAAUCAAGUAUAAAAUCUUCGACAAGUCUUCCUCAACUUAUUUAUCAGAAUGAAACUAAUGAUUCAAAAAUUUCAUCUGGUUGGCUAGUGAGCUAUGCAGGUCUUGCUAUGUCCAAACCAUAUUACAAUGACCAAAUGGUCCAGUCAACAAAAGAAAAUUCAACCACCAAUGCAUCUAGUAGCUUCAGAUUGUUUGGAGUUGAUCUAACGGCUUCUACCAAAGCAAGAGAUGUUUUGGAACCACUUGAAUCAUACCAAAAGAGUAAAAUUUCUGAAAUCUUUGAUGAAGAAAAGCUUGAUCAAAUUCAAGCAGUGACAUCACUAACAGAAAUCCAAACGAAGAAAAUAAGGUGUACUACAAGUAGUACCAAGGUAUGACUAAGAGCAUCUUCUACUUAUUCUUUACUUUUUAGUCAAUUCUAAAAUUAUUAAUUAUUAAUAACUAGAACAUGAUAAGACAUAGGCUUUGUAAAAUUAUUCAUGUUCUUUUUAAGAAAAGACUAGAUUUUAUAUAUGGUUGCACACAUAGUUUUAUUCUAAUACAGUAGAUUUGAUAUUGAUAAGAAACUUGAAUAACUUUUUAACCAGAUUGAGAUGACUAUAUUUAAUUCACAAACACUUGAUAUGUUUAUUGACCAGGUUCACAUGGAAGGUGUUGUUAGAACUGUUGAUUUAACUGAUUUUGAUGGAUACAAUCACAUGAUCCUUGAACUAGAAAAACUCUUUAAUAUCGAAGGCAAGUUGCAUAUGCACAGUCAAUGGAAACUAACCUUUAAAGUUCAUGAAGGAGAUAUGAUGCUUGUUGGAGACGAUUCAUGGCUGAAAUUUUGCAACACCGUGAAGGAAAUAUUCAUAUGUUCAAAAUAAGAUGCCAUAAAAUGAAAUUUGAGAACCAAUUCUCUAAAGGUGACUCAGCAUUUACAAAAAUAAUUUCACCGUCCGAUGUCGAGACAGUCAAAAAGGGGUUUUGUUACUUUUAAUGCGUUUUUAUAUAAUACUAGGGUUUGAUCUCUGUUCACCCAGAUAUUUUACUUUUAUUUAACAUUUGUGUUUAACUUGAAGAGUUUGGUUUUAUAUUAUGUGUGAUAUUUAUUAUUGUGAUUGCUCUUCUUUACUUUUAUCAACUCUUUUCAUUGAACUUAUUUGUUAUAAGGAGAUUAAGACUCAGUUUUGUUGUGUUUACUAAAUUGCCUUAUACAAUUACUGAGAUAGUUUGAAUGGGACUAUGUUCUGUUUUUAUUUUGGCGAUAGAACUUUUAAUCAUUUUCUUAUUUUAAAUCAUCUAGUUUCAUGUCUGCUCUUAUUUGUUUUUGGUAAGUUGUUUUAUAUUGCAUUCUUUCGAAUUGUGCAACUAUAUAUUUUUAUUUCCAUAUCAAUAUUGGAAUUAUGGUUGAGUUUUUAAAAAAAAAAUUAUGUAUGUUACCUUACAAUUUAUUUCUAUACAAUAACUGUUGAUCUCUUAUUUCUGUCAUGUAAACAAACUUUUAGUUUGUUUGUAGUACUAACAUAUGGUUAUUAACAUUUACCAACUAAGCUAAUGGAGAUUUUAGUCAAAAAUAGUUGAAAUAUUACAUAUUAUUUUCAAGGCUGGAAGCACAUGCUACCCCAGCUUCUAUCCAGGGCCGACACUGCUUACAUCGUGAUGAAAAUCUUGUGAACAAGAUCGAAGAUAUUUCUAAAUACAUGAACAUUUAAGUGGAAGAGUUGUGUAAGAGAGUUGACGUGCUCACCAGGCUUCACUAUGCCUCAUCAAAAUCAAUGCCAUAAGCUCUGUUCUUUUUUUUUUUUAAUUUAUGCUUUCUUGAGUUUAAAGUCUUUUGAUUUGUUAGCAUCAUCUUCUGAAUGGAUUUAGGUAUUGGCUUUUGUAAUAACUUGGCUAUGUUGUUUUGUUUCUUAAUCAAACCGACUCUGUUUUUAGUCCUUUACAUAGAGAAUCAUGAAGAUAUAAAACAUAA